CUACGGGGCGCUGCAGUGGGGAAUAUUGCGCAAUGGGCGAAAGCCUGAUGCAGCAACGCCGCGUGAAUGAUGAAGGCCUUCGGGUCGUAAAAUUCUGUCCUUAAGGAAGAUAAUGACGGUACUUAAGGAGGAAGCCCCGGCUAACUACGUGCGCAGCAGCCGCGGUAAUACGUAGGGGGCUAGCGUUAUCCGGAUUUACUGGGCGUAAAGGGUGCGUAGGUGGUUUUUCAAGUCAGAGGUUAAAGGCUACGGCUCAACCGUAGUAAGCCUUUGAAACUGGAAAACUUGAGUGCAGGAGAGGAAAGUGGAAUUCCCAGUGUAGCGGUGAAAUGCGUAGAUAUUGGGAGGAACACCAGUAGCGAAGGCGGCUUUCUGGACUGUAACUGACACUGAGGCACGAAAGCGUGGGUAGCAAACAGGAUUAGAUACCCCCGUAGUC
rnacentral:rRNA from 1 species